ensembl:snoRNA
AUCCUUCGCAAUCAAACACAUGAUGACUGGUUUUGUCAUGACUCUUCAUGACAUGUGCAGCCGUUUUGUUACGAAGCAGCACAUUGACCGUCUGAUU